rfam:Gossypium hirsutum cultivar TM-1 chromosome 14, whole genome shotgun sequence
GGGUGUGAUCAUACCAACAGUAAUGCACAGGAUCCCAUCAGAACUCCCUAGUUAAGUGUGCUUGCAAGAUAGUAGUACUAUGAUGGGUGACCUUCUAGGAAGUCCUCGUGUUUCACCUC